UCGGAUAUGGUGUAACGGUCAACAUUGCCGCCUCUCAGUGAACCUGUCACGUGACCGCGGCAGCUCGGGGUUCGAUUCCCCGUAUCCGAA
rnacentral:tRNA from 1 species